GAAAUACAGAUCCCAGAAAGCCUCGGGCAGAGGCCGCCCCCCUUCUCCCAGGAACAGUACCCCUGCUAAUGCCCGCGCCUGUGCAAUCCCAUCCGCCACUCCCCUUUAGGUGCGGGUCCUCGAAUGAGCCCUAAGCAGCAAAAACUGUCCUGCCACGGGAAGACAAUGGAUGUGCACAGAGAUUGCAGCAUUUUAGAACAAUAGUUGAAGAUUAUAAUGGAAAGGUCACUCAUCGUCUAGGCCCCAGGAAUUAAGAGGAUUUCUUGCACUUUAAUAAAUUAUCAGUUGAAUUAUAGUUUGUUAACCUGGGGGAAAAAAUGCAGAACACCACCAAUGAAGUCAUAAUAGUGAGUCUUAAAUCGGAGCAAGGAAUUAUAAUCGAGAAAAAAAACACAGUCGUUGCCCGGAGACCUUAAUCUGGAAAGCCACACAGACCCCCAACCCCGGGACUUCCACUGAACUACAGAAAAGGGAUUGCUUAGAUAGAUUUUGGUAAAAGAGGUGGAAAUAACAGAAGGAUUUUGUGAUUUCACAGAAGCUUGGGAAAGAAUAGCCAGAGGUAAGGGUGAUUGGAAAGGCAUUUUAGGUUUGAUUAUCUUCUUUAACUCAGUCUUGAGAAAGAAAGAAAACCAAUUCUUAGGGGCAACUAUGUGGGUCAAUGGAUAGCCAGGCCCUAGGUUCAAAUUUGGUCUCAAACAUUUUCUCCCAGUAUGACCCUGGGCAAGUCAAUUCAACCCAAUUACCUAACCCUUACUGCUCUUCUCCUGAGAUAGUUACAAAUAUCUUGAAGAGUAAUAUUGCACCCUAGGAUUAUGGUGACAAAUUUGAUUAUAUUUUUAACCCACCUGUUCCAUCUUUGGGGCUUCAUACCAAAAAAAAAAUUUUUUUUAACAUUAUUUUAUUUGGUCAUUUCCAAACAUUAUUCAAUGGAAACAAAGAUCAUUUUCUUUUCUUUCCUUCCCCCCCUCCCACCACCUCUCCCAUAGCCAAGGCGCGAUUCCACUGGGUAUCACAUGUGUUCUUGAUUCAAACCCAUUUCCAUGUUGUUGGUAUUUGCAUCAGAGUUCAUUUAGAGUCUCUCCUCAGUCAUAUCCCCUCCACCCCUGUAGUCAAGCAGUUGCUUUUCAUCGGUGUUUUUACUCCCACAGUUUAUCCUCUGCUUGUGGAUAGUGUUUUUUAGAUCCCUGCAGAUUGUUCAGGGACACUGAAUUGUUCCUAAUGGAGAAGUCCAUUACCUUCGAUUGUACUACAGUGUAUCAGUCUCUGUGUAUAAUGAUUUCCUGGUUCUGCUCCUUUGGCUCUGCAUCACUUCCUGGAGGUUGUUCCAGACUCCAUGGAAUUCCUCCACUUUAUUAUUCCUUUUAGCACAAUAGUAUUCCAUCACCAACAUAUACCACAAUUUGUUCAGCCAUUCCCCAAUUGAAGGGCGUCCCCUCAUUUUCCAAUUUUUGGUCACCACAAAGAGUGCAGCUAUGAAUAUUCUUGUACAAGUCUUUUUCCUUAUUAUCUCUUUGGGGUAUAAACCCAGCAGUGCUAUGGCUGAAUCAAAGGGUAGACAGUCUUUAUCGCCCUUUGGGCAUAGUUCCAAAUUGCCCUCCAGAAUGGUUGGAUCAAUUCACAACUCCACCAAUAAUGGAUUAGUGUCCCUACCUUGCCGCAUCCCCUCCAGCAUUCAUUACUUUCCAUAGCUGUCAUGUUAGCCAAUCUGCUAGGUGUGAGGUGAUACCUCAGAGUUGUUUUGAUUUGCCUCUCUCUGAUUAUAAGAGAUGUAGAGCACUUUUUCAUGUGCUUAUUAAUAGUUUUGAUUUAUUUGGCUGAAUAUCACUUUGUUAAAGGUCUGAUAUUAAUUUGUAAACUGAUCAUGAGAAGAAAGCAACUGGUCAAAAUGAUAUUGGGACAGUUAUCAAUGAGUAGAUGAUUUUAGGGAAAUAUUAAAAAGCAAUUAUGUAGGGGAGGCAGAACAUACCAGAUUAGGGUUUGUGAGCUGUACUACUAAGAAAUCCCCAACCCCUCAAGGUUACCCCUAAAACUCAGAAGGGAUCAAUAGCCUUAUUCUGGGAACCUGACCUAUUUACUCAAGAGUAUGGGUUUGGUGAGGGAUCCCAGAGUUCAUAUUGCCAUACUAGUAUUUCAACAAUUCUUCACCAUUUUUCACUGUAAAUUUAUAAUAUUCACCUACAUUUAGUCAAAUAGACUCCUAUAGGCUAUGUUGGGAAUCUAAUUAAUAUUCAUGGCAUUAUUUCUAUGAGGAAUUAUGUUCUAAAUUCAAAAUAACUUACUUCUAUACUUAAUUUCUUGGGCUCUGUUUAUACAAAAUUCCUGUAUACAGCUGAGGAGGCCAGAUAUCUACAUAUGUAGUGGAGGUGGGGGUUGCUAUGGUUCGCCCAUCCACCUCCAGGUGAUAGAACAUAACUGUGAGGGAAGUUUGCUACAAUUUUUUUCAAGGAAAUUGGAGGGAGACAAAAUAGUGAUAAACAUCACCAUUAUGCCACUACUGUUUUCCUGUGCUAGGGCUUUAAUGGCAGAGCCAUACAUUCUUUCAGCAUAAUCCAAGCAUAAGAGCAAGGGUGAAAGCAUUCAGAAUCUAGGUAAGAGAUAGGGGUCAUUUGCUCCAGGGAUCAGCACCAGAUCUAAUUUUCCUAUUGCCAAAGCCACACAAUUCUGAUCAACUGAAGUUCUCUGACCUUCUUAGUUUAGCCAAGAGAAGAAAAGUUUAGCCAAGAGAAGAAAAAUCAAGAUGGGAUCUAGUGAAGGGGUAGACUUGCUAGCUCCCCAUGAAACUAGCUAAAAGAAUUAGCUAUUAAUUAAUUAACCCCAGAAUUCCAUGAUUUUAGACAGUGUCCAGGACAACUACUUGAUAGCAUAUACCUUAGUCCAGUGAUGGUGAACCUUUUAGCAACCUUCUGUUGCUCCCCACUGUGAGUCUUGAAAUUUCUCAGACUUGUGCAUGUUAAAAAAAUUCCCCAUUGGAGAAUUCUCCAUUGGAACAAUUCCCUACUGGACCAUUCCCCAUUUGGAAAGUGAGAACUCUACUUAGAUCAGAAAUGGGAAGACCUCUACUCCACCCAUACUUAAGACUGCCUUAGGGGAGAAAACUCCUUGCAGAACAAUGAAAAGUACUUAAACCCAUACUUAAGCCAUGCCUAUUUUUAGAAAGGGGUGCUAAGUACCUAUAAAGGUCAGGCAACUUGUGAACUUACAAGGAGCAAAGAGGUGAAAACUUACUCAGAGCUUUCCUGAUGUGAAUUACUCAGAAGUUUUAGUCUACCCAGAAAAGGUGAGAGCAAGAUGUGAAUUAAGAAGGUGAUAACAAAAUGUGAAUUAAGAAUGGCCAGUCCUUUGGAAAACAUCUACUGUGAUUGGUAGAUGUAAGGACUUAGGGGAGGUGACAUAGGAGAUAUUGCCCUUUAAAUAGGAGCUCAGAUAGGAGCUCAAGGGACUGAUUCUGAAACAGUCAGCUGGGGAAGGCUGCCUUGAAGGGUCUCUCUCGAGACUCUCUCAGGAACAUUUCAGAUUGAUUGAGCUGGUGAAGUCAGCUGAGAUGGAGUUGGCCUGGUGUCACUAGAAUUCUUGCUUGGACAGAUCUUGUGUUGAGUGAUUAAGGACUGACUGAUCUCUCUCAAGACUCAGGUCUAGGCCAUGUUGGCUUAAGACCCUUCAUACUUAUUCCUUUCCUACUCUUUCUUUAAUUCCUCAUUGUAUUAUUAAAAUCUCUAUAAAACCCA